rnacentral:lncRNA from 1 species
UAAUUUCCAUUUUUUAUAUGAUUCCACUUGGUAAACUGAAUCUGGUCAUAAAGGAAAACCUCAUCUUCUCGACAGGAUUAGAAAAAAAAUAAGAAACUAUUUGAGAGUUUCAGUAGACAGAUUUACCUGGCAUCAUCAACUAAAAAAAAAAUCUUGCUAUGUAAAUCAGAAGCUGACCGUGUCUUCUCUUCAACACCCGUUCUAAGUAAGCAGAUAAGCCUUUUAUUCAACUUCACUGUCGGGUCAAAUGGAAAAUUACGCAUUGAGGGCCUACUUUGUGCAGAGUGCCGGACUGAACACAGCUGAAAGCUCUAGAACUGCAGAUGUCAGAAAGGGAGGCUCCUGGUGCCCAACAAUGUCACCUGGCAGUACUGCAUUUGUGGGGUCUGAUUCUCAGCAUUUCAAAGCAGAGCACACUGCUGUCCAUAUACGUGGAAUUGGCCCGUUUCUCAUGGAUGGGAUCAUACGAGCCAAGCACAUGACAUGGCAACAAAACAAACCAAUCCGUGGACCCAGAAACCCAAUGCGUUGUUUUAACAAUGAUGUUCUUGACUGAUCUGCUUCUGCUCCUAUUAAGGACCCGCUUCCAGAUAUCGAGGCGUCUUGGAGGCCAACCAGUAAUUAGAAGGUUUCUCAGUGAGAGUGCACUCAGCACCAAGGAAGGGAAUCUUGAGGAGUAUUUCACCCUCUUUGUGAUCCCCCUGUACCUAGUGUUCUGCCACUAUGGUGCAACCAAUCACACUGAACAGAAUUUAUUAGAUUAUACAAUUGUCUUCCUAGGAACUUCCUAUGUACUCUUAAAGAACAGAAGCCGUGUCUUGGCUGCACAAUAAACGUGUGUUGCAUUGAAAUUAUUAAGUUGGACUCUCUUCAUCCCAAAACGCAACCCAGACUAGUUAGAAUACGAGCACUUGCCAGAGUCAAUGUGCACAUCUCUCUUAGAAAGGACAGAGUAAACCAUUCUGGCUAUGGAGUGGAGAAAAAAUUAGAAGGCAAGUGGAGACGCAAGUGGACAAAUUAAGGGGCUAAUUGCUAAUUUAGGCAAGAAACAAUUGUAGAUGGACAAAUAAUUGUUGUAUAUUCAUAUAAUGGAAUGGAAUGGAAAACUACACAAUUGAGAAAAAGAACAAACUAUUGAUCUAUGCAACAGCAUGAAUGACUCUCAUAGACGAUGUGACAAGAAAGAAGCCAAACUCCAGAUGUAUACGCUCCCCAGAAUCAAGCACUCACAGAAGUUUGUGGUGAUUCACGGAUUCCCAGCCCAUGAGAGGAUGAGAGAGUACCAUGAGCUGACCACCUGCCAUGACCAGGUACUACACUAAGCGCUUCAUACUCUCCGUCUCAUCUAAUCCACUGAAGAAUCUCGAUGGCCUCAUUGUUUCCCCAGUUUUUCAGUUAUGAGAAGCUGGAUGAGCAAGGCUCUGUGUUAGAGCUAUUGUGGAAACAAUCCUAAGUGCCGGCAGUGCAUGGGGACCGUGACCCAAACCCUUCUACAACAGCCCAAGCCACACCCUGCCAAAGCUCCCAAAGGCGUGGCUUAGGUCUUAUGGUGGAGACGAGAGAGAACCGGGGUCCAGAACGACUCGAGGACAGCUUUGGAAACUCCACCUGCUGGACUGGAGUGAGACAAGCAGAAGGGGAUACGUGUGCUAACACCAUGGUUCUCACCCACACCAAGACAGCAUACUGUGACAGAGGCUGCUGGCUAACCCCCAAAAUUUAUGCUCUCCCUUCUGUAGUGUGAAUUUGUUGCUGGGAGGUGACUGUCCAACCAUAGGUUUAUUUCCCAGUACCCCUUGAAUCCAGGUGUGACCACAGGACUAGUUCUCACCAACGGAGAGUAAGUAGAACUGAGGUGCACCAUUUUCAGAAUUUGCCAUUAGCUGGAAGCAGAAGACAGAAGAUCCACAGGAUGGAAGGAAGCUGGGUGUCUGAAUUACCAUAAGGAAGAAAGCUCCCGGUGAUCAGGAUUAUACACACCAGACUGCUACAUGAUGGAAAAAUAAACUUUUCUUGUGUUAAGC